rnacentral:rRNA from 1 species
GACGAACGCUGGCGGCGUGCCUAAUACAUGCAAGUUGAGCGAUGAAGAUUGGUGCUUGCACCAAUUUGAAGAGCAGCGAACGGGUGAGUAACGCGUGGGGAAUCUGCCUUUGAGCGGGGGACAACAUUUGGAAACGAAUGCUAAUACCGCAUAACAACUUUAAACAUAAGUUUUAAGUUUGAAAGAUGCAAUUGCAUCACUCAAAGAUGAUCCCGCGUUGUAUUAGCUAGUUGGUGAGGUAAAGGCUCACCAAGGCGAUGAUACAUAGCCGACCUGAGAGGGUGAUCGGCCACAUUGGGACUGAGACACGGCCCAAACUCCUACGGGAGGCAGCAGUAGGGAAUCUUCGGCAAGGGACGAAAGUCUGACCGAGCAACGCCGCGGGAGUGAAGAAGGUUGUCGGAUCGUAAAACUCGGUUGGUAGAGAAGAACGUUGGUGAGAGUGGAAAGCUCAUCAAGUGACGGUAACUACUCAGAAAGGGACGGCUAACUACGUG